GGUCAAGCUACAAAGGGCUCACGGCGGAUACCUUGGCACACAGAGGCGAUGAAGGACGUGGUUACCUGCGAUAAGUCUCGGGGAGCUGGAAGCACGCUUUGAUCCGGGAAUUUCCGAAUGGGGCAACCCCUAGUACGGCCAGCUGAAUCCAUAGGCUGGCGCGAGCCAACCCAGCGAACUGAAACAUCUUAGUAGCUGGAGGAAAGGAAAGUAAAAACGACUCCCUA
rnacentral:rRNA from 1 species